rnacentral:tRNA from 1 species
GCUGGUAGCUGAGUGGACAACGCGCAGGACUCGUAAUCCUGUGGCCCGGGUUCGAUUCCCGGCGUCGGCG